rnacentral:snRNA from 1 species
UCUAAUAUUUUAGAUAUGU